rnacentral:lncRNA from 1 species
UGAAUCAGCUUCGGAGGAUUCAGAAUUAUCUUGGACUAAAUCAUUCAGACGAACGACUUCAAGCUGUGUUGGGCAAAUGUUCACUUGGAAACCUUAAGUAGAAAAUGGUAAAGUCAAGACACCUCUUAUUGAUGAAAAGGGGAAGUCAGUUCUCUAUAGGAAAGGAGUUAUUGGAGACUGGAAGAACAAUUUCACUGUUGCCCAAAAUGAGAAGAUAGAGGAACUUAUUGAAGAUAAAUUUAGGAACAGUAUGUUCAGUUAUAAUGUAUAGAAUUGCUAGAGCCGAUUUCUGACGAACAAAAUAUGUUCAAUGACAAGUCAUGGAUCAUAAAUUACUUCAAUUGUGACAUGAAAUGGUAACCCGGAAUCGCAAUCUAGAAUACCAUGAAGACUGAAGUGUUAACGAAGAUGGCGAUGAUUAAACAUUAUUCUCAUGGUGAUGCCGGAUGAAUAUGUCAAUUCAUGAGAAUAUUAUAUGUUUAAAAUCAUUAAUUGACAAAUUUCAAGGAUGAACAUGUCAAUUUAUGAGAUUAUUGUAUUUUUAAAAUCAAGAAAUUUACGUAGGAAUGUGCUAUAUACUAACCUCGUAUGAAGUUAAUGAUCUCUUACAAAAGUUACGGAUAAAAUGUGCGAUAUACAUAACAUCGUUCUUAGAC